CGAAUGUUAUUCUCUCUUUGACAUUCAACGAGUAAGUUAAUUUUACGGAAGUUUGUAAAAUUCUUCACACGUCUACUCGAUUUGCCUCGCUUCCCUCUUCGCUUCUCCUUUAUCGCCAUCUUCGCAACGAACAGAGUGACAACAAAAAUACAAAAAGGGGAAGAACAAUAACAAACGAAACGAAAGAAUUCCAUCAUCAACGCGAGAAGAGCACGACUAUCGUCUAUCUCGCUUCAGCGAAAUAGAUAAAUAAUUUGAAAAACAUUAAGUAAUAAAAUACGAAACGGCAUUAUUUUUGAGACAAGAAUAAUCGGCAGUGUUUUGGUAGAACUUUUUUUCUUUUUGGCACUAAAUCGAAAUUUGUAGCAAUAUUAUUUGCUAACGUGGCCUUUAAAAUUCGGUCAACCGUAUCAAAUCGAUGACUAUAUCUGUUCGUUCGAGGGACUUGGUGACUUAACAAUGGACUCCCUGGCCAUCUUCAUUUUCCUGUGGGCCGUGCUGGCCCUCUUCUCCGUGUGGCUCAUCAAGCUGCUCUACCACAAGUAUCUCAACAAGGACAAGGCGGCCAGUGCGGCCAACAGUCGCCAGACGAGCGUGGCCCCCACAUCCGGAUCACCCUCGUCCGGCGCCGGCAAGACGGAGAAGCGUCUCUCGGAGCCGCGCGACCUGCUGGCCACCAAGAGCAAGGUGGAAAGCCUGGACCUAUCCAAGCCUCUGACCGGCGCAUCCGCAGGUCGAGGACGCUCAUCGGCCUCGCCCUUGAACACCGGUGGUGCAGCCGCCGGCGGUCCACGUCGUCGGGUGGUGCGCCAGAGUUCCACUGGGCCAGAGAAUCGCAAGAAGCGAUACGUCCCACCGCCGUCGAAUGUCGUGGGUCCAGAAACGAGCUCCGUCACCUGGACCAGCCAGGUGUUCCGCUGGCUUUAUAGCGACCUGGUCAUCGUCAACGAGCUGCUCAUGUCCUGGGUAAUUGCCAUCAACGACACGCUGCGCAAGUCUGUGGAGGAGCAUGGAGUGGCCGUUGAAGUGGUGCGAGUGCUCCCCGACAGUCCUGCGCCCGGAUUGAAUAAUAUAUUCUGUAAUUGCGAUGAAAACAAUCCCGCUGAUAUGCUCAUCACCUUUGACUGCGACGCAAUGCCGGUGCUGCAGGUGAAGACCUUCCGCCAGAAGUCGGGCAAGGUGGAGACCUCCCACUACAAGGUCACCGUGUCCAGGUUCCGCGCCCGCAUGGCCAUUCCCAUGAACUACAACAGCCUCAAGGGUGAGAUGCGAGUCGAGGGCUAUCCGGAUGUUCGCAUUGCGAUGAACAGUGUGGGUGCCAUCAAGGCAAUGGAUCAGGACGAGCAGCAGCUGCAGACGGUGAUCAGCGACAUCCUGACGACGGCCCUGCGCGACACCGUCUAUCCGGUGGACUUCUCCAUCUACUCCACCUGUCCGCGGGCCGAGGUGGAGCCCCUGGACCUGCCCGUAAUCUAUCCGGUUCACUAUGACUCGCUGGCGCACAACAUGGAGCACCACUUGGGCGGCGUGGGAUUGAGGGACUCCCAACACAUGGUUUCCGGCCGUCGGCUGCUGGUGAAGAUCGUCAAGGGCGAUGGAAUCAGGGAUGCCCAGAAUCCCUAUGUGGUCAUUGAGAUGGACGAGCCGGCCCAGAAGAACCAGACGGGCACUCAGCGUGGCAGCAAACCCUUCUGGGAUGAGCACUUCCUCUUUGAACUCUCCCCUCAAUCAGCCGAGAUCCUGUUCGAGGUGUAUGACCAUCCGGUGAUUGCCUCAGAUCCGCCCAAGUUCCUGGGCCUCGGCCUGGUUGGCAUCGAUGAGCUGGCCGUUGGACCCGCAUCCACUCAGCAGCUGCAGCUGCAACCACGCCCCUAUGAGACGCAGCCCGUUUCGGGAGCCAUCACCGUGGACUUUGUGUUCAUCGAGGGUGCCGAAAUCCCGGCGGGCACCCGUCCACAGCGUCUCAAGGAGGCACUGCGUCUCAGCACGCCGGCCAUUAACGAACACAUCCGGAAUGGAGCGGAUCUGGCGGAUGCAGCCGUAAAAGCUCUGCAGGAUGGAGCGCUCUCGAGCAGCGGAAGUGGCGGACAACCCAGCAAGAGCACUUUGAUCAUCCACAGCGUGCAGCGGAAUUCGAGCAGCCCGAAUGCAUUUAAGGUUGAGUUGAACAGAGAUGGCCAAAUCGAGGUGACCGAAACGGCGACGGAGUUGGAUCAGGCAGUGGCCCAGGCCUUUGAGCGGGCAGCCAACGAGGCGCAAACCGAGCUCGAGCUGGAGCUGGCCAAGGAGGAGAAGGUCAGCCAGUUGGGCGAGGCCCUCAUCGAUUCAGGUAACGGCACCGUCAACGAGGACAGCACCGCGGAGUUUGGCCAGCCCAAUGCCGCCUCAUCGCCCAAUGGCAGCAGUUACCACAACAACUACAGCCUCAAUGGCAACGGCAACUCCCAUGGCGCCGCAUCGGGCGGAUACAACAGUCUGCCACGAAACGGUGGUGCCCAGCAGCUGGCACAGCACUCCGGUUUGUUGGAGGGCCAUGACUUGGUCGACGAUCGCGGGCGCAGCAAAAAACGUAAUUUCUUUGGCACCCUGAAGAAGCGGCUCAGCCGCUCCAAGACACGCACCCUCUCGGCCGAUCAACCUAAUAAUAACAGUCAUAAGUCACUAUCAGCCACCAACUCGAAUACAACAACAGCCACCGGAUACCCUCGAACAGCCACCGGAACCCUCAAUGGUGAUUCUUCCCGUUCAUUAUCUGUCGAUCGUGGCACUCUGUCCAAAAGCAAUUCACUUGGACCACGCAUGGGCAUUGGUCACUCCAUCACCGACCACUCACGACGCUCCUCAAUUUCAGAAUCCUCGGCCAUCUCAGGCUUCUCCUCGGCCAGCAAUAAAACCUAUGUGCACGAGGCCUCCACCCUGGUGCUGGAGACCAUCGAGAAUGGCAUAAAGCGCCACUUCAUUGUGCCUUUGGCCAUCGCCCAGAGACCGCGCUGGCGUCGCAAGGGCACCAAGCUGCACAUCUACAACGACCACACCUUCAUCGCCAAGCAUUUGAGCGGAAGCGGCCUGCAGUGCUCCAUCUGCAUGAAGUCCAUACCACGGAGGCCCGGAAAGCAGGGCUACGAGUGCCGCGACUGCCAGCUGAUUUGUCACAAGCAGUGCCACAUACGGGCACCCCAAGCAUGUCCCAAUCCCACGGUGCUCUCCAUGGAACUAACGUCAUUUCCGGUACUCACAGAGAGAGAUAUAAACCUAGUUAACUAAAUCCUUAUUUUGUGACCAAUCCAACCAUCUGAAUACUAUUCUUUUGUAAAAACCUUGAGUCCGCCAAAUGCAGUUGGAUAUUUACCAAGAGCAAUUUUUGAUUUACUCAUUCCUCCCGAUUGGCGUCAGAAAUGAAAAUUUCUGCCUCGUUUUCCGGCUUUCGCUACCAUCCCACAACAUCCCAGUACCACAGUCACCUCGCUUGGCCGCGCUGUUUCAUUAUGUGUAUAAACCUUCUGGGCACUAAUUUGAGCUCUUUUUCUCAUCGCACCCCACACCAAAUACCAAAAACCAUCACCGACCAACCCACCACAUGGACACAGGAUGGCCAGUGAGGAGUAGAAGGUCUCAGCCACAUCACAGCAUCUUUAGCCAGUUAAAUACCAUUCUUAAAUGCUCCCCGAGCGAUGUGCGAGUUCAUUCUGACGCCAUUAAUUUCAAAAGAACAUACACAAUCCCCUUCGAUUUCUUCGAUUUGAACGCAAACAAAAAAGAUACAGACAAGAAAAUGAAAUGAAAACUAAAACUCCAGGGUUCUAGAUCCCUGCCGCUGCAGUUUUGAGAGGUUCGCGCAUUUUCCAGUUGACCCUUUGGCCACUGGAAAAUCGGGAACUAAACUUAAUUCAGCGGCGGCAGACCGCAGCAUACGGAAGCUGUGAAUUUGGGGAAUACCCUGGGAUCCAUCCAGCCCAAACCGAGAAACCUUAAUCGAAUAAUACCCUAGUUACAUAGAAUUGAAGGAGCUGUGCAAACCAUCUUCUUCAGCUUGGAAACCCUCGAUACAUUACGUUAUUUAUUUAUACACUCACGCGAACGCAACACACAUGUGCAAUAAGUUCUUUGGAUUCGUUUUUAACCCAUUUCUCCGUGUCAAUGUGCUCGAGCCCUUUGAUAUUUUGUAUUUUCUACAAACACGAAUAAUAAUUGUACAAAAUAAAAGUGAAUUAGGGUUUUUUAAAUUAAACAACAAAUGCGGUGAAUCAAUAAAGUUGUGAUCACUAAUAAUA